ACAAUUAAAUCUGGAAAAUCAACUCUACCAUAAUGUAGAGUAGCUGCUGUGUAUUGUAUAUAUAUAAUAGUUUGUUACAAGAAUUCGGAGGUAGUAGAAGGCAAGAACUGGGCUAGGCAGGGAAUGUUGCCAUCAAUAUAGCCAAAAACCUUUUGGCCUC